UAAAUUUGAAUAGAAUUUGGUUUUAAUAACAAUUCUAAUUGUUAUAAUUAAAAGGGAAAUAGGUGUAACUCCUGUACUGUUCCCGCAGCUGUAAGCUCUACUAAAGGUUUUUACAUACUUUGUCACUGUUUUUAAUUUAAAAACGGGAAGACGUAAAAACUAGAGUAAGUCAGAAGACCUGCCAAUUUUAAACUCGUCAA
rnacentral:ncRNA from 2 species